UACGAGGGGGGCGAGCGUUGUUCGGAAUUAUUGGGCGUAAAGGGUGCGUAGGCGGUUUGGUAAGUCUUGUGUGAAAUCUACAGGCUCAACUUGUAGUCUGCACGAGAAACUGCCGGGCUUGAGUAUGGGAGAGGUGAGUGGAAUUCCUGGUGUAGCGGUGAAAUGCGUAGAUAUCAGGAGGAACACCGGUGGCGAAGGCGGGUCUCUGGGCCGUUACUGACGCUGAGGAGCGAAAGCGUGGGGAGCGAACAGG
rnacentral:rRNA from 1 species